rnacentral:rRNA from 1 species
GACGAACGCUGGCGGCGUGCUUAACACAUGCAAGUCGAACGGAAAGGCCCUGCUUUUGUGGGGUGCUCGAGUGGCGAACGGGUGAUUAACACGUGAGUAACCUGCCCUUGACUUUGGGAUAACUUCAGGAAACUGGGGCUAAUACCGGAUAGGAGCUCCUGCUGCAUGGUGGGGGUGGGAAAGUUUCGGCGGUUGGGGAUGGACUCGCGGCUUAUCAGCUUGUUGGUUGGGUAGUGGCUUACCAAGGCUUGGACGGGUAGCCGGCCUGAGAGGGUGACCGGACACACUGGGACUGAGAUACGGCACAGACUACUACGGGAGGCAGCAGUGGGGAAUAUUGCACAAUGGGCGGAAGCCUGAUGCAGCAACGCCGCGUGCGGGAUGACGGCCUUCGGGUUGUAAACCGCUUUCGCCUGUGACGAAGCGUGAGUGACGGUAAUGGGUAAAGAAGCACCGGCUAACUACGUG